rnacentral:misc_RNA from 1 species
AAAUCGGCAAUAACCCGUAAGGCCUUUCUUUUAAAUCUGUUCAUCAUGGAAAAUUGUUUGAGCCUUGAUUUGACAACAUCUCCAAGUGGAACAUUUGGAGCUUUUUUAAUAUUUUGAAGCCAAGGAUGAUCAAGAACUUGCUUUGCAGUCAAGCGAAGCUUUGGAUCUGGCUCCAACAUUUGUUUCACAAGACUUUUAGCACUCUCUGAGAUACUGGGCCAUGGAUCACGUUUGAAA